AACGAACGUUGGCGGCGUGGAUUAGGCAUGCAAGUCGAACGAAUCCCAUGGGGGUAACUCUGUGGGGGAAGUGGCGAAAGGGGCAGUAAAGCGUGGGUAACGUACCCCGGGGACCGGGAUAGCCUCUCUAACGAGAGGGUAAUACCGGGCGAUCCAGCGAAGGGGCAUCUCUUUGCUGGGAAAUGAAUUUCGCCUCGGGAGCGACUCACGUGCUAUUACCUAGUUGGCGGGGUAACGGCCCACCAAGGGGAAGAUGGCUAGCGGGUGUGAGAGCACGACCCGCGCCACUGGCACUGAGACACUGGCCAGACUCCUACGGGAGGCUGCAGUCGAGGAUCUUCGGCAAUGGGCGCAAGCCUGACCGAGCGACGCCGCGUGUGCGAUGAAGGCCUUCGGGUUGUAAAGCACUGUCGAGGGGGAGGAAGCCGCAAGGUUGACCUAUCCCUGGAGGAAGCACGGGCUAAGUUCGUGCCAGCCGCCGCCGUAAAAC
rnacentral:rRNA from 1 species